AAAGUUUGAUUUUCUUUAUUUGUGAGGAUGAGGAUUGAUUGAGGAAGCAAAAGGCUCCAAAUCCAUUCUUGAACCAGGCUGCACAACCAAAAGAUGCCAAUUGGGCUUGGUCAGAACCAAGUCUGUUGGGCUGAGACCCAACAGGCGAUUUCUUUCAAAAUACAUCAAGUCUUAUGAAGGGAAACGGAAGCAAAUAUUGUAGAUCGCAUGAAGGCCCAAUCAUGGGGUGAAAAUGAUUAUUAGGGGCUUGGUACGCCCCUAGCCUAACUUACCUUUACCUUAUGAAUUUACAUCUCAAGGGUGUAUUGUAUUUGUCAUGUUUGUAAACAACACAUUAUUAGUGGAAUCCUUUAUGGUUGGACUAGACAUAUUAGG